rnacentral:rRNA from 1 species
GAUGAACGCUGGCGGCGUGCUUAACACAUGCAAGUCGAACGGUGAAGCAGAGCUUGCUCUGUGGAUCAGUGGCGAACGGGUGAGUAACACGUGAGCAACCUGCCCCUGACUCUGGGAUAAGCGCUGGAAACGGCGUCUAAUACUGGAUAUGAGCUGCGACCGCAUGGUCAGCAGUUGGAAAGAUUUUUCGGUCUGGGAUAGGCUCACGGCCUAUCAGCUUGUUGGUGAGGUAAUGGCUCACCAAGGCGUCGACGGGUAGCCGGCCUGAGAGGGUGACCGGCCACACUGGGACUGAGACACGGCCCAGACUCCUACGGGAGGCAGCAGGGGGGAAUAUUGCACAAUGGGCGAAAGCCUGAUGCAGCAACGCCGCGUGAGGGAUGACGGCCUUCGGGUUGUAAACCUCUUUUAGCAGGGAAGAAGCGAAAGUGACGGUACCUGCAGAAAAAGCGCCGGCUAACUACGUG